UACGUAGGCGGCCAUAUAAGUCAGAAGUGAAAGGCUACGGCUUAACCGUAGUAAGCUUUUGAAACUGUAUGGCUUGAGUGCAGGAGAGGAAAGCGGAAUUCCUAGUGUAGCGGUGAAAUGCGUAGAUAUUAGGAAGAACACCAGUAGCGAAGGCGGCUUUCUGGACUGAAACUGACGCUGAGGUACGAAAGCGUGGGGAGCGAACAGGAUUAGAUACCCGAGUAGUCC
rnacentral:rRNA from 1 species